rnacentral:rRNA from 1 species
AUUGAACGCUGGCGGCAGGCCUAACACAUGCAAGUCGAGCGGUAGAGAGGUGCUUGCAUCUCUUGAGAGCGGCGGACGGGUGAGUAAUGCCUAGGAAUCUGCCUAGUGGUGGGGGAUAACGUUCGGAACGGACGCUAAUACCGCAUACGUCCUACGGGAGAAAGCGGGGGAGUCUUCGGACCUCGCGCCAUUAGAUGAGCCUAGGUCGGAUUAGCUAGUUGGUGAGGUAAUGGCUCACCAAGGCGACGAUCCAUAGCUGGUCUGAGAGGAUGAUCAGCCACACUGGGACUGAGACACGGCCCAGACUCCUACGGGAGGCAGCAGUGGGGAAUAUUGGACAAUGGCGAAAGACCUGAUCCAGCAAUGCCGCGUGAGUGAUGAAGGGCCUUAGGGUUGUAAAGCUCUUUUACCCGGGUAUGAUAAUGACAGUACCGGGAGGAAAUAAGCUCCGGCUAACUCCGUGCCAGCAGCCGCGGUAAAGGU